CAGAGGUGCGAGCGUUAAUCGGAUUUACUGGGCGUAAGCGUGCGUAGGUGGCCAAUUAAGUCAAAUGUGAAAUCCCCGAGCUUAACUUGGGAAUUGCAUUCGAUACUGGUUGGCUAGAGUAUGGGAGAGGAUGGUAGAAUUCCAGGUGUAGCGGUGAAAUAGCGUAGAGAUCUGGAGGAAUACCGAUGGCGAAGGCAGCCAUCUGGCCUAAUACUGACACUGAGGUACGAAAGCAUGGGAGCAAACAGGAUU
rnacentral:rRNA from 1 species